AUACGUAGGGGGCGAGCGUUAUCCGGAAUUAUUGGGCGUAAAGAGUGCGUAGGUGGUCUUGUAAGCGUGGGGUGAAAGGCAGUGGCUUAACCAUUGUUAGCCUUGCGAACUGUGAGACUUGAGUGCAGGAGAGGAAAGUGGAAUUCCUAGUGUAGCGGUGAAAUGCGUAGAUAUUAGGAGGAACACCAGUGGCGAAGGCGACUUUCUGGACUGUAACUGACACUGAGGCACGAAAGCGUGGGGAGCAAACAGGAUUAGAUACCCUGGUAGUCCACGCCGUAAACGAUGAACACUAGGUGUCGGGGUUUAAAGACUUCGGUGCCGCAGUUAACGCAUUAAGUGUUCCGCCUGGGGAGUACGCACGCAAGUGUGAAACUCAAAGGAAUUGACGGGG
rnacentral:rRNA from 1 species